GACGAACGCUGGCGGCGUGCCUAAUACAUGCAAGUCGAACGCAGUGGGGACGGGUGAGUAACACGUGGGUAACCUCCCAUCAGAGGGGAUAACACUUGGAAACAGGUGCUAAACCGAUACUGAUGGAUGGACCCGCGGUGCAUUAGCUAGUUGGUGAGGUAACGGCUCACCAAGGCCACGAUGCAUAGCCGGCCUGAGAGGGGAAUCAUCCCCCCUGGGACUGAGACACGGCCCAGACUCCUCCCACACUCACCAGUACAAAAUCUUCAGCAAUGUACGAAAGUCUGACCGAGCAACGCCGCGUGAGUGAAGAACUUUUUCGGAUCCUAAUACUCUGUUGUUAGAGAAGCGGUAUCUAACCAGAAAGCCACGGCUAACUACGUGCCAGCAGCCGCGGUAAUAC
rnacentral:rRNA from 1 species